UAUCUCUGUAGAGUCUGCAUAUCAAUAAGCGGAGGAAAAGAAACUAACUAGGAUUCCCUCAGUAACGGCGAGUGAAGCGGGAAGAGCUCAAAUUUGAAAUCUUCAAGGUUCUACCUUGACGAAUUGUAGUUUAAAGAAGUGUUUUCUGUUGGAGUUUUGGUAAAAGUUCUUUGGAAUAGGACAUCAUAGAGGGUGAGAAUCCCGUAUUUGACCAUUAUUUCCAGCUUUGUGAUACACUUUCAAAGAGUCGGAUUGUUUGGGAAUGCAGUCCAAAAUGGGUGGUAAAUUUCAUCUAAAGCUAAAUAUUGGCGAGAGACCGAUAGCGAACAAGUACCGUGAGGGAAAGAUGAAAAGAACUUUGAAAAGAGAGUUAAACGGUACGUGAAAUUGUCAAAAGGGAAGCGUUUGACACCAGUGUUGUUUUCUCGAAAAUCAAUUAAAAAUGGCGGGAUUUUGUGUUGUAUUGACUUUAUCAGCUUUCUGCACUCUUUUCCUGUCUUUUUUAAUGCACUUUUCGUUUAACAAGUCAACAUCAAUUUCUUUUGUUGUAAAUGAGUCAUUGGAAGGUGGCUUUCUUUUCGGAGAAAGUGUUUGUAGCCUUUGGCUUCUGCAAUCGGAGAGAUUGAGGUCUGCAGCGUAGAUCCUUCGGGGUUAGAUACGUAGAUGCUAAGUUAUAGCUUUUUAUAGACAACUUGUUGACUAUGAUUAAGUCAUGUAGCUUACUCGUUUACGCUAUUUUACCUACGCUUAGGAUGUUGAGUCAUCACACAUCUCU
rnacentral:rRNA from 1 species